rnacentral:rRNA from 1 species
AACGAACGCUGGCGGUAUGCUUUACACAUGCAAGUCGAACGGGUAAGAGCCGUAGCAAUACGGAAUUCUGCUAGUGGCAAACGGGUGAGUAACGCGUGGGAACCUACCUUAUAGUACGGAAUAGCCCCGGGAAACUGGGAUUAAUACCGUAUACGCUCUUCGGAGGAAAGAUUUAUCGCUAUAAGAUGGGCCCGCGUUAGAUUAGCUAGUUGGUGAGGUAAUGGCUCACCAAGGCGACGAUCUAUAGCUGGUUUGAGAGGAUGAUCAGCCACACUGGAACUGAGACACGGUCCAGACUUCUACGGGAGGCAGCAGUGGGGAAUAUUGGACAAUGGGCGAAAGCCUGAUCCAGCAAUACCGCGUGAGUGAUGAAGGCCUUAGGGUUGUAAAACUCUUUCAGUAGGGAAGAUAAUGACGGUACCUACAGAAGAAGCACCGGCUAACUCCGUGCCAGCAGCCGCGGUAA